UACCAGCACCCCGAGUGGUCGGGACGUUUAUUGGGCCUAAAGCCUCCGUAGCCGGUUCUACAAGUCCUCCGUUAAAUCCACCUGCUUAACAGAUGGGCUGCGGAAGAUACUAUAGAGCUAGGAGGCGGGAGAGGCAAGCGGUACUCGAUGGGUGGGGGUAAAAUCCGUUGAUCCAUUGAAGACCACCAGUGGCGAAGGCGGCUUGCCAGAACGCGCUCGACGGUGAGGGAUGAAAGCUGGGGGAGCAAACCGG
rnacentral:rRNA from 1 species